AAUUUGAGUUGACUAUCUGACUUUGUAUCUCUGCACAGCCACCUCCUUGGAGCUUCCUUCACUGAUUUGGUUACUGAGACACUGCUGGCUCACCGCAGGUUCAUAUUGCAAGACAAGACCAGUAGCCGAAAGCAAUUGACAUUUUCUCGACAUCUACAAUAUUUGGAGCAGCUGACCUCCUAUCAAGAAGUAUUUGGGUGAAGGAACUUGUGUAACGGUAUGAUUAUGCUUCUCCGAUUCCAAUGCAUUACUGUCAUUGCCUUGUUUUAAGCUUCUGAUAUGUUUUGUGGUUGCACUCUAUGCGAAAAGAUAUAAUCUGAAAUCCGAUUGAUCUCAUCAUGGAUAAGUCAUGGAUCAACAAUGAUGCUAGGUACAAGCUGGUUAUUUCACAAAUAUUAAAAUUGCUGUGUAGUUAAUCAUGG